rnacentral:rRNA from 1 species
GGGGUACUCGAGUGGCGAACGGGUGAGUAACACGUGGGUGAUCUGCCCUGCACUUUGGGAUAAGCCUGGGAAACUGGGUCUAAUACCUGAAUAGGACCACGCGCUUCAUGGUGUGUGGUGGAAAGCUUUUGAAGNUUCGGUGUGGGAUGGGCCCGCGGCCUAUCAGCUUGUUGGUGGGGUAAUGGCCUACCAAGGCGACGACGGGUAGCCGGCCUGAGAGGGUGACCGGCCACACUGGGACUGAGAUACGGCCCAGACUCCUACGGGAGGCAGCAGUGGGGAAUAUUGCACAAUGGGCGCAAGCCUGAUGCAGCGACGCCGCGUGAGGGAUGACGGCCUUCGGGUUGUAAACCUCUUUCAAUAGGGACGAAGCGCAAGUGACGGUACCUAUAGAAGAAGCACCGGCCAACUACGUGCCAGCAGCCGCGGUAAUACGUAGGGUGCGAGCGUUGUCCGGAAUUACUGGGCGUAAAGAGCUCGUAGGUGGUUUGUCGCGUUGUUCGUGAAAACUCACAGCUUAACUGUGGGCGUGCGGGCGAUACGGGCAGACUAGAGUACUGCAGGGGAGACUGGAAUUCCUGGUGUAGCGGUGGAAUGCGCAGAUAUCAGGAGGAACACCGGUGGCGAAGGCGGGUCUCUGGGCAGUAACUGACGCUGAGGAGCGAAAGCGUGGGGAGCGAACAGGAUUAGAUACCCUGGUAGUCCACGCCGUAAACGGUGGGUACUAGGUGUGGGUUCCUUCCUUGGGAUCCGUGCCGUAGCUAACGCAUUAAGUACCCCGCCUGGGGAGUACGGCCGCAAGGCUAAAACUCAAAGGAAUUGACGGGGGCCCGCACAAGCGGCGGAGCAUGUGGAUUAAUUCGAUGCAACGCGAAGAACCUUACCUGGGUUUGACAUGCACAGGACGCCGGCAGAGAUGUCGGUUCCCUUGUGGCCUGUGUGCAGGUGGUGCAUGGCUGUCGUCAGCUCGUGGUCGUGAGAUGUUGGGUUAAGUCCCGCAACGAGCGCAACCCUUGUCCUAUGUUGCCAGCGGGUUAUGCCGGGGACUCGUAGGAGACUGCCGGGGUCAACUCGGAGGAAGGUGGGGAUGACGUCAAGUCAUCAUGCCCCUUAUGUCCAGGGCUUCACACAUGCUACAAUGGCCGGUACAAAGGGCUGCGAUGCCGUGAGGUGGAGCGAAUCCUUUCAAAGCCGGUCUCAGUUUNCGGAUCGGGGUCUGCAACUCGACCCCGUGAAGUCGGAGUCGCUAGUAAUCGCAGAUCAGCAACGCUGCGGUGAAUACGUUCCCGGGCCUUGUACACACCGCCCGUCACGUCAUGAAAGUCGGUAACACCC